GACAAUAUUGGCACAACAGGACCACCCAAUGGAACAACAGAUGGCAAACCAAUGGGUCGGAGCCCAUCACAUCAAUUAGCCAACUAAUUCAUUAACCCAUCAACUUGCAUGGAACCAAAACCCAUCAACAGCAAGAGAACAGCCAAUCACUGGUCUAAGAGGAUGACUCCAAGCAACAACCCACACAGCCUUGGGAUCCAAUCAAAAGUAAAGGCCCUAGUCAACCCAUUGCAGUCCAAACCCAUGGGGCACGGUGGCGGUGCUUAGAAUAGGUCAUACUUGUCAUAUUCACCCAGGUACAGCGGGAACACCAUUGUCAUCAUCCAGCAAGUCAUCCAGAAGAGGCAGAACAAUGACCUAGUCAAGAAGCUGUCUAAGUCAUCCAGAAGAGUCAGAACAAUGACACAGUCAAGAAGCUGUCUAUGUCAUCCAGAAGAGGCAGAACAAUGACACAGUCAAGAAGCUGUCUAAGUCAUCCAGAAGAGUCAGAACAAUGACACAGUCAAGAAGCUGUCUAAGUCAUCCAGAAGAGGCAGAACAAUGACACAGUCAAGAAGCUGUCUAAGUCAUCCAGAAGAGUCAGAACAAUGACACAGUCAAGAAGGUGUCUAUGUCAUCCAGAAGAGGCAGAACAAUGACACAGUCAAGAAGCUGUCUAAGUCAUCCAGAAGAGUCAGAACAAUGACACAGUCAAGAAGCUGUCUAAGUCAUCCAGAAGAGUCAGAACAAUGACACAGUCAAGAAGCUGUCUAAGUCAUCCAGAAGAGUCAGAACAAUGACACAGUCAAGAAGGUGUCUAUGUCAUCCAGAAGAGGCAGAACAAUGACACAGUCAAGAAGGUGUCUAAGUCAUCCAGAAGAGUCAGAACAAUGACACAGUCAAGAAGCUGUUUAAGUCAUCCAGAAGAGUCAGAACAAUGACACAGUCAAGAAGCUGUCUAAGUCAUCCAGACUCAUGGCAUGGUGCUGUUGGGUGAGAAAAAAAGAAGCUUUUUACAAUUUAGAAAUGCAUUCAGUGGUCACAACAAUAUCACAAAUAUCUGUUUCAGUUUACAUUUAUCUAUGUUGAACUGUGUGUGUGUGUGACAUUAAUACGAUCAUUGAAAUACCACAAGAUGAUCGUGGCGGCGAUGGGGUCUGUAGCCUUGAGGCAGGUCAUACCAACAGAGACACUCCAUCUUGAAGGGACA